AACUAAUGAUAAGGGCAACUUCUCAAGAGUUUUUUGAAUUUGUCUCAUGCCUCUUGCAGUGUUUUCAUCUUCCCUUUGAGAAAAAACCAGAAUUUCUUGCCUUAACUU